GAUGAUCGUAACGUCCGUGUACGAUCAAGGUAAGAACGUAAACAAGUAACCGGACACAAUGUUGAUUUGUCAUUGUACUUCAAAUAAAAAAUCAUUUUUGUGGCUGAUUUGGCUGGAGUGAAGGAUAUUGCGGUCCACUACAAAGCUCUGACAUCCGAAACUCAUUUGCAAGAUAUUAAGCAUAGGAGCAUCAGUAGUUUCC